rnacentral:tRNA from 1 species
CGCAGGGUAGAGCAGCCAGGCAGCUCGCCGGGCUCAUAACCCGGAGGUCGUCGGUUCAAAUCCGACCCCUGCAACCA